GAUGAACGCUGGCGGCGUGCCUAAUACAUGCAAGUCGAGCGAACGGACGAGAAGCUUGCUUCUCUGAUGUUAGCGGCGGACGGGUGAGUAACACGUGGAUAACCUACCUAUAAGACUGGGAUAACUUCGGGAAACCGUAGCUAAUACCGGAUAAUAUUUUGAACCGCAUGGUUCAAAAGUGAAAGACGGUCUUGCUGUCACUUAUAGAUGGAUCCGCGCUGCAUUAGCUAGUUGGUAAGGUAACGGCUUACCAAGGCAACGAUGCAUAGCCGACCUGAGAGAGUGAUCGGCCACCCUGGAACGGAGACGCCGUCCAGGCUCCUACGGGAGGCAGCAGUCGCGAAUCUGCCGCAGUGGGCGAAAGCCUGACGGAGCAGCGCCGCGUCAGUGAUGGAGGUCUUCGGAUCGUAAAACUCUGUUAUUGGUGAAGAACAUCUGUGUACGUAACUGUGCCCAUCUUGACGGUACCUAGUCAGGAAGCCACGGCUAACUACGUG
rnacentral:rRNA from 1 species